rnacentral:tRNA from 1 species
GGAGACUUGGCAGAGCACGGCUUAUUGCAUCGGUCUUGAAAACCGGCGGGGGAUAACCUCCCUCCCUGGGUUCGAAUCCCAGAGUCUCCGCCA